rnacentral:rRNA from 1 species
GAUGAACGCUGGCGGCGUGCCUAAUACAUGCAAGUCGAGCGAACAGACGAGGAGCUUGCUCCUCUGACGUUAGCGGCGGACGGGUGAGUAACACGUGGAUAACCUACCUAUAAGACUGGGAUAACUUCGGGAAACCGGAGCUAAUACCGUAUAAUAUAUUGAACCGCAUGGUUCAAUAGUGAAAUACGGUUUUGCUGUCACUUAUAGAUGGAUCCGCGCCGCAUUAGCUAGUUGGUAAGGUAACUGCUUACCAAGGCAACGAUGCGUAGCCGAACUGAGAGGGUGAUCGGCCACACUGGAACUGGGACACGGUCCAGACUACUACGGGAGGCAGCAGUAGGGAAUCUUCCGCAAUGGGCGAAAGCCUGACGGAGCAACGCCGCGUGAGUGAUGACGGUCUUCGGAUCGUAAAACUCUGUUAUUAGGGAAGAACAAAUGUGUAAGUAAAUAUGCACGUCUUGACGGUACCUAAUCAGAAAGCCACGGCUAACUACGUG